UCAGAGAUAAAGAUUUAAACUUUGAAUUUAAGGAAGGUAAUUAACUUUGCCUCUCUGAG
rnacentral:tRNA from 1 species